CUUGUAUCAUCAGAAGCAAACAACCCAGGUGGCGCACUUCAAAAUGCUCCUGUGCAAAUAGGGGAAAGUUCAAAAAUUCUAUCAUCAAUGCUUUCUACUCCUUGUAGUUCAGCAGUCCCUAGUCCAAGCAUGGUUGGCAGUACAACAGCUGGAAUAUCUGACUUUCCUCAUUUCACUCCUACACUUCCAUCUGCCCACACUAAUUUUGUUUCUCCUGUAUUGAAUCAAGAAUCUGUUUUUGUAAUUGAAGGAAAUCAGGUGCCCCCUUCUCUAUCACAUGACCGAGUUUUAGAUAACAAUAAUGUCCACUUGCAUCAGUUCAGGGCUGAUAGCUCGAUUGCAAAUAAUGAAUAUGGAAAAAAUGCAAAUAGAGUUUCAGUCACAACUAUGAACUUCCCAAACCAAGCCCAGUGUUCAAGGCCAUCUGAACAAAUGAGAAAUCUAAUUUCCUGGAUGCCAAAUAGAGCCUCUUUUGCCUCUUACCAGAACAUGCCUUU
rnacentral:misc_RNA from 1 species